GAUGAAGAACGUAGCGAAAUGCGAUACGUAAUGUGAAUUGCAGAAUUCAGUGAAUCAUCGAAUCUUUGAACGCAUAUUGCGCUCUUUGGUAUUCCGAAGAGCAUGCUUGUUUGAGUAUCAGUAAACACCUCAAAGACUUCAAUUUGUUUUGAAUGGCUUUGGACUUGAGCAAUCCCAACACCAGUCUUUACGAUAGGUGGAGGGUUGCUUGAAAUGCAGGUGCAGCUGGACAUUCUCCUGAGCUAAAAGCAUAUUUAUUUAGUCCCGUCAAACGGAUUAUUACUUUUGCUGCAGCUAACAUAAAGGGAGUUUGACCGUAUUGGCUGACUGAUGCAGGAUUUCACAAGGGUCGGCAACGAUUCUUGUAAAACUCGAUCUCAAAUCAAGUAAGACUACCCGCUGAACUUAAGCAUAUCAAUAAGCGGAGGA
rnacentral:misc_RNA from 1 species